CACAGACAACCAGGAUGUUGGCUUAGAAGCAGCCACUCAUUCAAAGAGUGCGUAAUAGCUCACUGGUCGAGUGAUCCUGCGCCGAAGAUUUCCGGGGCUAAAACUUACUACCGAAGCUACGGCAUCAGUAAUGAUGGGUAGGGGAGCUUCCCAUACGGGUUGAAGCAUGACCGUAAGGACAUGUGGACAGUAUGGGAGUGAGAAUGUUGGCAUGAGUAGCGAGAUGUGGGUGAGAAUCCCACAGGCCGUAAACCCAAGGUUUCCAGGGGAAGGUUCGUCCGCCCUGGGGUAGUCGGGACCUAAGCUGAGGCCGAAAGGCGUAGGUGAUGGACAACAGGUUGAUAUUCCUGUACUACCGAUAACCGUUUGAGAGAUGGGAUGACACAGUAGGAUAAGCUAAGCACACUGUUGGUUAUGUGUGCCCAAGCAUUGAGGCAGUCAAAGUAGGCAAAUCCGCUUUGAUAAUGCUGGGAUGUGAUGGGGAGCGAAAUUUAGUAGCGAA
rnacentral:rRNA from 1 species